UUUCGCAAUGCCCGAAAGGGUGACGAAGCGACGCCGCGUGCGGGAAGAAGGCCUUCGGGUUGUAAACCGCUGUCGGGAGUUAAGAAAUGUAAGGAUGUUAAUAGCAUCUUUGCUUGACUAAGGCUCCGGAGGAAGCCACGGCUAACUCUGUGCCAGCAGCCGCGGUAAUACAGAGGCGGCAAGCGUUGUUCGGAAUUAUUGGGCGUAAAGAGCACGUAGGCGGCUAUGUAAGUCGGUUGUGAAAGCCUUCCGCUCAACGGGAGAACAGCAUCCGAUACUGCAUGGCUCGAGUGCGGGAGGGGAGAGUGGAACUUCUGGUGGAGCGGUGAAAUGCGUAGAUAUCAGAAGGAACGCCGGCGGCGAAAGCGGCUCUCUGGCCCAUAACUGACGCUGAGUGUGCGAAAGCUAGGGGAGCAAACGGGAUUAGAUACCCCGGUAGUCCUAGCCGUAAACGAUGGGCACUAAGUAGAGGGGUUUUAAUCUC
rnacentral:rRNA from 1 species